AAGUCGUAACAAGGUCUCGGUUGGUGAACCAGCGGAGGGAUCAUUACCGAGUUUACAACUCCCAAACCCAAUGUGAACGUUACCAAACUGUUGCCUCGGCGGGGUCACGCCCCGGGUGCGUCGCAGCCCCGGAACCAGGCGCCCGCCGGAGGAACCAACCAAACUCUUUCUGUAGUCCCCUCGCGGACGUUAUUUCUUACAGCUCUGAGCAAAAAUUCAAAAUGAAUCAAAACUUUCAACAACGGAUCUCUUGGUUCUGGCAUCGAUGAAGAACGCAGCGAAAUGCGAUAAGUAAUGUGAAUUGCAGAAUUCAGUGAAUCAUCGAAUCUUUGAACGCACAUUGCGCCCGCCAGUAUUCUGGCGGGCAUGCCUGUCCGAGCGUCAUUUCAACCCUCGAACCCCUCCGGGGGAUCGGCGUUGGGGAUCGGGACCCCUCACACGGGUGCCGGCCCCUAAAUACAGUGGCGGUCUCGCCGCAGCCUCUCCUGCGCAGUAGUUUGCACAACUCGCACCGGGAGCGCGGCGCGUCCACGUCCGUAAAACACCCAACUUUCUGAAAUGUUGACCUCGGAUCAGGUAGGAAUACCCGCUGAACUUAA
rnacentral:rRNA from 1 species